rnacentral:rRNA from 1 species
AGAGUUUGAUCCUGGCUCAGGAUGAACGCUAGCGACAGGCUUAACACAUGCAAGUCGAGGGGCAGCACGGGAGUAGCAAUACAACUGGUGGCGACCGGCGCACGGGUGAGUAACGCGUAUGCAACCUACCUAUCAGAGGGGAAUAACCCGGCGAAAGUCGGACUAAUACCGCAUAAAACAGGGGCACCGCAUGGUGAUAUUUGUUAAAGAAAUUCGCUGAUAGAUGGGCAUGCGUUCCAUUAGGUAGUUGGUGAGGUAACGGCUCACCAAGCCGACGAUGGAUAGGGGAACUGAGAGGUUGGUCCCCCACACUGGUACUGAGACACGGACCAGACUCCUACGGGAGGCAGCAGUGAGGAAUAUUGGUCAAUGGGCGAGAGCCUGAACCAGCCAGGUCGCGUGAAGGAAGAAGGAUCUAUGGUUCGUAAACUUCUUUUGCAGGGGAAUAAAGUGCAGGACGUGUCCUGUUUUGUAUGUACCCUGAGAAUAAGGAUCGGCUAACUCCGUGCCAGCAGCCGCGGUAAUACGGAGGAUCCGAGCGUUAUCCGGAUUUAUUGGGUUUAAAGGGUGCGUAGGUGGUUUGAUAAGUCAGCGGUGAAAGUUUGCAGCUUAACUGUAAAAAUGCCGUUGAAACUGUCGGACUUGAGUGUAAAUGAGGUAGGCGGAAUGCGUGGUGUAGCGGUGAAAUGCAUAGAUAUCACGCAGAACUCCGAUUGCGAAGGCAGCUUACUAAGCUACAACUGACACUGAAGCACGAAAGCGUGGGGAUCAAACAGGAUUAGAUACCCUGGUAGUCG